AUUCUGCAUCAGAGUGAUAAGAGCACCAUCGUCAUAUUACAAUAAAAAUACAGGAACAAAGUAUCCAUCCACACAGUCGUGUAAAUAGAGCCCAUUGAACCGGUGUUUUCUGAUUCCACUCAGUUAGGCACCUGAUUGAAAUAUUGGAAAGUAUUUGUAGAAUUAAGUGACAUCGAUUGUCCGUUUUCGAGGCCUACCGCGUGCCGGCGUCUUCAGUGGGAGGUGUUGUAUCUUUGGGCGCCCUGUAUUUUUUGUAUCACUACUGCUCAAAUUAAAUUGUUCAAAGUCCCUCCAGUUUUCCCGGAGAAUAUGGCCCUCUGCUUGCUUACUUGUGGUGCUGCUGUUGCUGCAACUAUUGGCACCAUAUAUUUGCUGCGGAUUACUUGUUGUAUAAAUUCCCAGCGGACCGACUCCAGCAUACACCACAACCAGGUAAGUAAUCUCACGACCGAUGCAGCUGGGCGAACCAACCCUACUGGUGACGAGCAUACCUAUUUACUAGUGAACAAUCAAAACAUGCAUAGCUAAGAUCUCGUUGUGUCGGAUCGGAUGGAGUCUUAACAUACCCAAGCCGGAUUUCUAUACGAAACAGCUUCCGAAAGUCACGAGCUGUAAUAAAAUCCUAUGUGUCUUCCGAGGCCAUAAUGGCACAUUUUUCCGUCAGUCAAUGUGAGCUGGAAAUACAAUAAUGAUUUAACUAUA